AUUGAACGCUGGCGGCAGGCUUAACACAUGCAAGUCGAGCGGAUGAAGGGAGCUUGCUCCUGGAUUCAGCGGCGGACGGGUGAGUAAUGCCUAGGAAUCUGCCUGGCAGUGGGGGAUAACGUCCGGAAACGGGCGCUAAUACCGCAUACGUCCUGAUGGAGAAAGUGGGGGAUCUUCGGACCUCACGCUAUCAGAUGAGCCUAGGUCGGAUUAGCUAGUUGGUGGGGUAAAGGCCUACCAAGGCGACGAUCCGUAACUGGUCUGAGAGGAUGAUCAGUCACACUGGAACUGAGACACGGUCCAGAGUCCUACGGGAGGCAGCAGUGGGGAAUAUUAGACAAUGGGCGAAAGCCUGAUCCAGCCGUGCCGCGUGUGUGAAGAAGGUCUUCGGAUUGUAAAGCACUUUAAGUUGGGAGGAAGGGCAGUAAGUUAAUACCUUGCUGUUUUGACGUUACCAACAGAAUAAGCACCGGCUAACUUCGUG
rnacentral:rRNA from 1 species